rnacentral:rRNA from 1 species
AGUGAACGCUGGCGGUAGGCCUAACACAUGCAAGUCGAACGGCAGCACAGGAGAGCUUGCUCUCUGGGUGGCGAGUGGCGGACGGGUGAGGAAUACAUCGGAAUCUACUUUUUCGUGGGGGAUAACGUAGGGAAACUUACGCUAAUACCGCAUACGACCUACGGGUGAAAGCAGGGGAUCUUCGGACCUUGCGCGAUUGAAUGAGCCGAUGUCGGAUUAGCUAGUUGGCGGGGUAAAGGCCCACCAAGGCGACGAUCCGUAGCUGGUCUGAGAGGAUGAUCAGCCACACUGGAACUGAGCCACGGUCCAGACUCCUACGGGAGGCAGCAGUGGGGAAUAUUGGACAAUGGGCGCAAGCCUGAUCCGGCCAUACCGCAUGGGUGAAGAAGGCCUUCGGGUUGUAAAGCCCUUUUGUUGGGAAAGAAAUCCAGCUGGUUAAUACCCGGUUGGGAUGACGGUACCCAAAGAAUAAGCACCGGCUAACUUCGUGCCAGCAGCCGCCGUAA